rnacentral:lncRNA from 1 species
UCUACCGUCUAUGCUGUUUUUGCCAACUUUUCUCUUUCAUGAUGUUUUUGAAAACUUAAAACCAAUCAUCAUUCCUAUUUUUUAUGCAGUCAGUGUUUUGUUAAUUUUAUUUUAUAGGCUCUACAAUUUACUAGGUCAUUCCUUCCAGCGUCUCACUCCUACAGUCUGGGCAUAUUUUCCUUUUUCCCUAGGUAUAGGCUUUCCUUGUUAUUAGCAGGCAUAUAUGAGUGGUAGUUUCUCUUGCUUGUUUUCUAAACGGAGAUGUUUCUAAAUAUGUUUGUAUUUCAUCUCUGCUAGUGGAUGAUCAUUUACAGAGAUGUAAAUCUCCAGAAUGUCACUAUUUCCCUUGAGAACUUACAUGUGCAUUUUUUCUACUUCUUCUGAAGAGCAUUCUUGGAGCAUAUAUUCCAUCAUUGUAGUUUAUGGGUCAGCACGGUUUCCUUAAAGGGACCAAAAGUGAAUAUUUUAGGUUUUGCGGGUCUUACAAGUCCUGUCACAACUACUCAACCCUGCCUUCAUUGCACAAAAGCAACCAUCAAAAAAUGUUUAUUCACAAACACAGGCUAUAGGUUUGCUGACCCCUAACUGUUGCUGUGUUUUGUUUUGUUCUUUUAUAUUUUAUUCAUCCCUUGCCACUACUUAUUAAGAUUUUCACUUGGCACAUAGAGUGAUAAAUAUUAGAUAGUUGAGAGUCGUGCAGUGGACUCACAAGAGCCCAGCCGGGUGAGAGAAAUGAGACUUUGCCUCCUGCACUGGCAUGCUGGCUCUGACGUGACAAGAGAGUUGAGGGCUGAUGACCAAGGUCCGUUGGAAGGAAGUGGUGUCGUUGGGACAGAGUCGACAGUUGCCUGCAAUCAGAACCUUGAUUUCUCUCCCCAGACCAAGGAUAGAGAUGCUGACUUGGGUGAGGGGGUUGGUAGCAAUGAUGAGCAAUGGUCUGAAUUUAAAUCUAAAAUGACGGGGAAAAGCUAGAACCUGCCAAGAUUUUAUAGUCUGGCAUGACACUGAUUAGGAACUUAAAAAUGGUGUCGGAGAAAUAGCAGAAAAAGAAAUCAGUUAAAAUUUCGAUCCCAACGUUAGUAGCUUAAAAAUCUAAGUUAUUGCUAGAGUCCCCUGGCAGCUCAAUGGGUUAGGGAUCCGAUGUUGUCAGCGCUUUAUCUCGGGAGUGAUCCCUGGCCUGGGAACUUCUGCAUGCCUUGGGUGUGGCCCAAAAUACAUUAUUUCUGAUAGUUCUGAUGAGAGGUUUAACUGUUUCAUACAAGUGGAUGUGUUUGCAUAUGGAACCUACUUCAAAUAAUGUAUCUUCUGUUCAAACAUAUUAAACCUCUCUUCUGGUUUCUUUAUCCAUAAUAGAGGCAAUAUGAUCUAUUUUAAAAUUAUUAAUUUUAGAGUAGGAAGUAUUAUAUCUGAACCCUAACACCAACAUGCAUUGUUAGAUCAUCCAUUCCUCAUAAGUUCAUUCAGUCAAAAAUGAAUCUUAGGAUCUAGUGCAAAUUGUAGCCCCAGCUCCGAGGUAAACAAUGGCUGCAGCGGUACAUUAGGGAACAAACUGCUUCCCUGAAACUUACUUAAUGACUAUGGGAGAGGGAGAAGGACUUCAGAAAUUACACAGAAAGCCAGUUGAUGGCUUUAAAGGAAACAAUCAAGUUGCUAUGGAAAUAUCUGGGACAAAACCUCCCUUAAGUGGUUUAGGGAUUUCAAGGAUGUGGCAUCUAAGCUGGUUUUGAAAGGUCAUUAAAAUUGAUUCAUAUAAAGAUGGAGGGACAAUACACAAAAUAGAUGAACCUGACUAGUAUCCAAGAGGAGGGGUGCUCAAUUCCUGGCCUGACUCAGUGGGUUGGGGAUCUGGUGUUGCCAUCAGCUGGGGUGUAGGUUGCAAAUGUGGCUUGGAUCCUGCAUUGCUAUGGCGGUGGUGUAGGCUGGUGGCUGUAGCUCUGAUUCAACUCCUAGCCUGGGAACUUCCAUAUGCCAUGGGUGAGGUCAUACAAAAACCAAAAAUAAAUAAAUACAUGAAAAUUAAAUCCUUGAAAUUUUGAUUCCUCUUUUUUUUUUUUUUUUUUUUAACAUGAGCUGACCCUAUUGAAUGCACAUUUUCUGAUUGGACCUUGUGGUACAAUGAUAAGAGCUCACUGCAGGGGGCGCAGUUAGAGGCAAGGAGAAAGGAAUUUUGAGCUUCCUCAUUGGGACGAGGAGAAAGCCAUUGUGGUACAAUCCAAGCCAAGCACUAGCCCCUUUCUCACUGCAAUGAAGAGCUCAGAGACUUGACGAGGACGGUGGAUUUAGAGAUUUGCUUGUUAGACCUGGAGCAAAGCCCAUGGACUGGCUAGGUUGCCUGCAAUUCACAUUGUGUCUAAAUCAGUAAGAUCAGGGAAGUAAUAGGACCUGCGCAGGAUGUUAGUUACCCACUUUUAAGGGAUUACUGUACAUAUGCAGGUGAUAUUUGAAAGUGGGAUUAAGCAAAUUAAUGCACAAUUCAACCGCUGAGCAGAUGCACUCUUUCGUCAUUGGAGUACAUAGUUUAAUACACUAUGUCAUGAAACAUUAAUGUUAUGACAUUCAUUUAAAUUGACUUAGAUACACAUUCUAAUAGGAGCAAAAACCCGUAAAUGUUCUUACUAAAUCACGCCUUGCUCUGGGCAGAGCCGUUGACAGGUGCGGCCCUCGUUUUGAUCUUAUUUCACACCUUCGUGAGUGACCCCGAGCAGGGAGUCAACAGCAGGGUGAAAUUCGGAGAACAUUGUGAACCAGCACAAACACUCAGUGACCGGGGUGCCUGGUACUCAAGGUCUUUGAUGAGAAAAACACGAGAUGAGUCAGCCUGCAGAUGUGUGCAUAGUAUAUUCAGUCAAAAAGGUACCAAAAGGACGAAGGCAAGGAAGCCAGAGACACCCGCAGCCCCAAACACUGUUAAUUAGGUAAGGGCAUAGGUGAGUGUGUAAGAAUCCUGCACUCUCUCUAACAAGCUACAAACUGUGUUGAAAACACACGGCCUCUAAGGCGGGAUCUUGGAACACACUCUCUUCUCUCAAGUCCACCAGCCUUCCAGAGUCCAUUGCCCUGGGCAGAAACAGAGUUCUCAGUUUUUAGCCACUGAGCAGGGUCCUUUUUGCACAGUAACGAAACAGACCAAAGUGGGUUCUGUUUCCUCCAUGGCUCACCACUGGCCCACACUAUCGCCUUUAUCCUAAAUAGAGAACUUACGUGGAAGAGUGUUUAUUUCUGGACUCUUAAUUUCUUUGGUUUAUGAUUCAUUCUUGGGUCAACAGGGCACUUAAUCAUUAUCAUCUUAAAAUAAGACAAUAGAUUGUGAACUAGUCCUCUGUUUUUUGUGUGAAUUUUAACUAGUCCUAAUCCUUUAGAUUUCCAGAUAGAUUUUAGAAUUAGUUUGUAACGUCCUCACAUAAGAAGAAAAUUGCUGAUGGCAUCACAUACAUAAAUCCAUUUAGAGAGAAUACACAUUUUUAUAGUAUUGAAUCUUACAACCAAUGAAGCGUGAUAUCUACAUUAGGUCCUAUUUAAUUGCUGUCAAUAUAAUUUUGUUUUUUAGAAUGAAAUCUUGUACAGUUUUCAUAGACUCCUUCAUUUACAGGAGAAGUUUUUUUUUGUUUGUUUUUAUGGCCACACCCGGGAUAUGGAAGUUCCCAGGCUAGGGGCCAAAUCAGAGCUGCAGCUGCCAGCCUACACCACAGCCACAGCAACACAGGAUCCAAGCCACAUCUGUGAGCUAUACCACAGCUCACGGCAACACCAGAUCCUUAACACACAGUGAGGCCAGGGAUAGCACCUGCAGCCUUAUUGGUACUAGUCAGCUUCGUUUUCCACUGCGCCAAAAGGGAACUGACAUUAGAAGAUUUUGAAGUUACUGUUAAUAGCAUCACUUAAAAUUUUCAGUUUCUAUUAUUUUUUGCCAAUAUCUGGGUAUAAACUUGACUUUUGAAUACAGAGUUUAUAUAUAAUAUCCUGCUAAGUCUAUAUGUGUACAUAUAUAAUUUUUCCUUUGAGAAGGUAGAUCUAUUUUAAAUCUCUUAAGCUAAUUAAAAUAAAGAAGAAAUAUUUUAUGGAUGUUUUGGAAAUUCACUAAUAGAACAUUUGUAUCAGUAGGAAACACAGGAAAAGAAGAAGUUCCUUCAAAUGUAAUUUAUAGAAGUAUGGAAUAAUUUUCCUAUAGCUACCAUGAAAGUUUUUUUAUGAUCAGGUAAUAGUUUUAAGCAUUAAACAACAACAAAAAAACCUUAAAGAAAAGCACAAUUCCCCCAAAUUUACCAAUAGGUAAUAUUUAGCCACAUUUUUUUUUUUUUUUGAUGAGGAGAGAGUUAUUUUUGACAGAGUUGUUGAAAAAUAGUUUCUUUGAAGAUGCCAAGAUCAAAUUCCUCAACCUAAUUAGCCCCAUAAUAGUUUUCACAUCUAAGGAAACCAGUAUUAUUGAAAUAACAUCAUCAAAGAUAGUUGUAUGUGUUCUUAAAAUGUAUUACAGCUUUUUUUUUUUUUUAACCCAAUACCCAGUCAUCAUUCAUUCAUUUGGUUUAUGUAUGUCUUUACACGUACUUCUAAACCUGAAAUGGUUUACCACAAUGAUUCCGUUUUUCGCUUUUUGGGUUUUUUUCUGGCAUAUUUGAAAAGCGUACAGACAUGUUUUUCUAUAGAAUAUUCUGUUUUAGAUGUGUGUAUUAGAUGCAAGUUACGUAUAUUUGGAAAGAACUAAAUAGCGAUGCUAUUGAUGAUAUCACGUGCUUCCUGUCCAAGCCACCAGGAGGCAACUGUAUUAAGCCACAUGUGGUGAAAGGCGCAUGCGGAUUCUUUUGUCUGUCUAUAAAAGUGUCUUCUGAAAAAUAAGACGGCAUUGUUGCAAUUCCAAUCCUGCUGUGUUUAUUCAUUUUCUUGUCUUAGUUUAUUUAAGCCCUCCCAGUACAGAGCUGAAAACAAAUAAGUAUAGGGAGCAUUCUUGCAUUCUCAACUGAGAUAUGUUUCAACCUUAGAGCUGUGCUUACUGCUCUUUUCUGUGUAUGUUUUUUCAGAUUAAGAAUUCCUUUCCACAAUCCUCCUUUGGAAGGGGCUUUUAUGAACAUGUCUAUUGAGAUAAUAUAUUGUUCAUUUUCCUUCUUUUGUUUCCUUAAUAUCCUAAUGUUAAACUAGCCUUAGGUUCUUAAACUAUGCUUGAUUAAGUUGCAGUAUUCUUUGCAUAUAUUGUUCUAAAAUAUUCAUUUGUUAUUUUUAUUAUUUGUUGAUUUUUUUUUUUUCAUUCUCACCCAAGUCCGUAGAAGAGUUGGAACCGGAUGCAUUGUUUCCUGUUGGAUUCUUGUCUGGUUUUGCUGUCAAGUUCUAAUAUCCUUGGACUAUGAAUUGAAGUAUCUCCCCCUUUUUCUAGUUUCUGAAAAGAUUUUUCUAAAACUAGUGUUAUUUCUUUCUUAAAUUUUAGUAACAUUCCUUUGUGUCUUUAAUUUUCCUUAAGGAAAGCUUUUUGGCUAUGAUUGAAUUUUAAUACUUUCUUUUUGUUAAAAAUGAAUGCAGAUUUCCCAUUUAUAUUUUUGUGUGCUUCCAAUGAGCGUUUUUCUGGGAAUUUAUUUCAUCUAAACUUUCGAGUUUAUAGAUAUGAGGUUCCUCACCAUCUCCGCUUCUAUUUUUUUAAAGUGUUUUUAGGUUCUGCGGUGAGGAACUCUUUUUAAUGUUUCACAUUGCUUGCUUCUGCCUUUCUUUUCCGUCUCUCUCCCAGGGUCCCGCUUUUCAUGCUCUAUGAUUGUCAAGUGUUAUCAAUUUUAUUAGUCACUUCAAAGAAUUAACUGUUACAUUUAUUGAUACAUUUAUUACGUAUUGGUUUUCUGUUUCAUUAUUAGUUUUCUUAUCCUAGUUAUUAGCCUUCAAUUUAUGAAUGUCAAAAAAUAAAACAGGAAGCACAAUCAAAUUUAGAUUCAGAAAAUAAAUUUUUAAAGCAUUAAGUCUAUCCCCUGCAAUAGAUGAGAACUGCUUAACCUGGAAGUUACUGGCUGUUAAUCUGAAACUCACAUUUACCUGAUUGUCCUAUAUUUUAUUCGGAAGCCUUCUCCUUCUACUUCCUUUGAGUUAAUGUCCUAUCCAUUUAUUUUUUAUUUCUCAAAGGAGAUAUUUAGAUUAUUCUUUUUGGAUUUUGUUCUGUUACAUCUGCAUUUAAGGCUGUAAAUUCCACCUCAAUGUGGUUUAUCAGGAAGCAUCCAUUUUUCACAUCCUCUAAUUUCAUUACCAUCGAGUCUAAUGCAUUUUCUAACUUACUUAGUGAAUAUGUUCACAAAAAGAUUGGCGAAAGCACAUUCGUCACAGCCCUAGGGAAGCACUCAAGCAUCCAUUCAACAGUAGAAUAGAAAAAUAUUUGUUGUUAUACCUGCAACAUUAAAGGAGACUUUUAAAAGAACAAACUACUGAUACCUGCCACAACCUGGAC